UCGUAUUAAAAGAUUUUAUUAAAAAGAUGAAGACAUUCAAAUCUAAUUAAACCAUCCGAUGAACAAAGAGGACAAUCCAAGAAAAUAAUAUGGCGCUUUGUAUGCAGUAGGCAUUCCUGGAACGUGUAGAUUCAAAAUCGUGACUUCGUUAAUCCUAUAGACGGUACUUUCGUUGUAAACACACGUUCUACCCCUAAAAUUUUAAGUAAUUUAAAUGGUAUUUCAAACCUGAUGAAAAAAAAAAAAAAAAAAAAA